rnacentral:misc_RNA from 1 species
UACGUACCGUACGAACGUUAUUCGGAAUCACUGGGCUUAAAGAGUCCGUAGGCGGCUUGAAAGGUGAGGUGUGAAAGCCCACGGCUUAACCGUGGAACUGCGCUUCAAACCAUCAAGCUAGAGGGAGAUAGAGGAAAGCGGAACUGAUGGUGGAGCGGUGAAAUGCGUUGAUAUCAUCAGGAACACCGGUGGCGAAAGCGGCUUUCUGGGUCUCUUCUGACGCUGAGGGACGAAAGCUAGGGGAGCGAACGGG